rnacentral:tRNA from 1 species
AUUUAUAUAGUUUAAAUAAAACUUUACAUUUUCAUUGUAAUAUUAGGGAAAUUCCCUUAUAAAUAC